rnacentral:lncRNA from 1 species
GUUCUUGCACUCUACUGCGGCAGCCCAGGGUUCGGAUCCUGGGUGCAGACAUGGCACUGCUUGUCAGGCCACGUUGAGGUGGCGUCCCACAUCCCACAACUAGAAGGACCUGCAACUAACAUAUAUAAUUAUGUAUGGGGGAGUUUGAGGAGAUAAAGCAGAAAAUUAAAAAAAGGAAGAUUGGCAACAGUUGUUAGCUCAGGUGCCAAUCUUUAAAAAAAAAAAAAAGUAAGACUUAGCUAAUAACAAGAGAAGUGAUAACUGAAACCAUUAUAUACACGGUACUGGGACUGAGUGGAUAUACUUCCUUACCCCUGUAGUAAACAAUACUGGGACCGAGCAAAAAUGACUUAGCUGCUUGUUCCAGGAAAUAUCGGCACCUGGAAGUUAAGGCUGUUAGCCAAGCAAGCAGCUAACUCAUCAAAACUAACAGCUUGCUCAUCAAGACUUGCUUCAAGACCUUCAUCUCACUGUUAUCACCAAGCUAAAUGUGCUGCGUCAUAAACUCUGCUCAGUCCUAACAGUUACUGCCUGCAAGACCUACCUUAAAGUCACCGCCCCCCAGACCCUAAAGCCCUGUAUAUACCCUGUCCUAAUUUCCCAUGACUUUCUCAAGGCGGUGUUGUCCCUCGAUGCGGUAAAUCUGAUCAAUUUGGCUUUGCUGAUCAACAGGUUUUUUUGGCCGUCGGUAGUCAACAGUAGCUACAGCCUUGUUGAUUGGGAGUGUACGAUGUACCAGGUUCCAGCUUUGUUCAUUGAGAGUCUACGAUGUACCAGAAUGUCUUGCAAAUGAACUGACUUGGGAUCACUUAAAUGGCAAUACUGAUGGCAGGUAUGGGUUCAAAUAAACUUCUAGAAGGUAGUUUAGACA